AUUGAACGCUGGCGGCAGGCUUAACACAUGCAAGUCGAGCGGAGCGGCGGUCGGGUGAGUAAUGCCUAGGAUUCUGCCUCGUACUUGGGGAUAACGUCCGGAAACGGGCGCUAAUACCGCAUACUCACAGCUGAGCCUUGGUCGGAUUAGCUAGUUGGUGGGGUAAAGGUCUACCAAGGCGACGAUCCGUAACUGGUCUGAGAGGAUGAUCAGUCACACUGGAACUGAGACACGGUCCAGACUCCUACGGGAGGCAGCAGUGGGGAAUAUUGGACAAUGGGCGGAAGCCUGAUGCAGCCAUGCCGCGUGUGUGAAGAAGGUCUUCGGAUUGUAAAGCACUUUAAGUUGGGAGGCGUUACCAACAGAAUAAGCACCGGCUAACUUCGUGCCAGCAGCCGCGGUAAUUC
rnacentral:rRNA from 1 species